rnacentral:snoRNA from 1 species
GCGCCCUUAAAGCACCUCACUGCGCAAUUUUGCAUCGCGGCUGAGGUUUUGCAGCGGCGCCACACGAUCAUGCAGGAUCCGGGCGAUUGUUGUGUGCAGCGGCUCCCCGUACCGCCGUGCCAUUGUUUACGACCUGCGACAUUC